UGGGGAAUAUUGCGCAAUGGACGAAAGUCUGACGCAGCGACGCCGCGUGUGGGAUGAAGCUCUUCGGGGUGUAAACCACUGUUGCCAGGGAAGAACCUCCCGAUUCGUCGGGACUGACGGUACCUGGUGAGGAAGCACCGGCUAACUCUGUGCCAGCAGCCGCGGUAAUACAGAGGGUGCGAGCGUUGUCCGGAAUCACUGGGCGUAAAGGGCGCGUAGGUGGCUGGGUAAGUGUGCGGUGAAAGCCCGGGGCUCAACCCCGGGUCUGCCGUGCAGACUGCUUGGCUCGAGCAUAGUAGAGGCGAGUGGAAUUCCGGGUGUAGCGGUGGAAUGCGUAGAGAUCCGGAAGAACACCGGUGGCGAAGGCGGCUCGCUGGGCUAUUGCUGACACUGAGGCGCGACAGCGUGGGGAGCAAACA
rnacentral:rRNA from 1 species